AUUGAACGCUGGCGGCAUGCCUUACACAUGCAAGUCGAACGGCAGCACGGGAGCAAUCCUGGUGGCGAGUGGCGAACGGGUGAGUAAUAUAUCGGAACGUGCCCAGUAGUGGGGGAUAACUGCUCGAAAGAGCAGCUAAUACCGCAUACGACCUGAGGGUGAAAGGGGGGGAUCGCAAGACCUCUCGCUAUUGGAGCGGCCGAUAUCAGAUUAGCUAGUUGGUGGGGUAAAGGCCUACCAAGGCAACGAUCUGUAGUUGGUCUGAGAGGACGACAGCCCCACUGGGACUGAGACACGGCCCAGACUCCUACGGGAGGCAGCAGUGGGGAAUUUUGGACAAUGGGCGCAAGCCUGAUCCAGCCAUGCCGCGUGCAGGAUGAAGGCCUUCGGGUUGUAAACUGCUUUUGUACGGAACGAAAAGACUCCUUCUAAUAAAGGGGGUCCAUGACGGUACCGUAAGAAUAAGCACCGGCUAACUACGUCCCAGCAGCCGCAGUAAAAC
rnacentral:rRNA from 1 species